rnacentral:rRNA from 1 species
CCUUGGUGAGUGGCGGACGGGUGAGUAACACGUGGGUAACCUGCCCAAAAGUGGGGGAUAACAUUUGGAAACAAGUGCUAAUACCGCAUAACAACUACUUUCACAUGAUCGUAGCUUGAAAGAUGGCUCUGCUAUCGCUUUUGGAUGGACCCGCGGCGUAUUAGCUAGUUGGUGAGGUAAUAGCUCACCAAGGCAAUGAUACGUAGCCGACCUGAGAGGGUAAUCGGCCACAUUGGGACUGAGACACGGCCCAAACUCCUACGGGAGGCAGCAGUAGGGAAUCUUCCACAAUGGGCGAAAGCCUGAUGGAGCAAUGCCGCGUGAGUGAAGAAGGUUUUCGGAUCGUAAAACUCUGUUGUUGAAGAAGAACAUGCGUGAGAGUAACUGUUCACGUACUGACGGUAUUCAACCAGAAAGCCACGGCUAACUACGUGCCAGCAGCCGCGGUAAUACGUAGGUGGCAAGCGUUGUCCGGAUUUAUUGGGCGUAAAGAGA